UACGUAGGGGGCAAGCGUUGUCCGGAAUCACUGGGCGUAAAGGGCGCGUAGGUGGUCUUGUAAGUCUAUGGUGAAAGCCCGGGGCUCAACCCCGGGUCUGCCGUGGAUACUGCGAGACUUGAGUGCUGUAGAGGCAGGUAGAAUAUCGGGUGUAGCGGUGGAAUGCGUAGAGAUCCGAUAGAAGACCGGUGGCGAAGGCGGCCUGCUGGGCAGUAACUGACACUGAGGCGCGACAGCGUGGGGAGCAAACAGG
rnacentral:rRNA from 1 species